rnacentral:rRNA from 1 species
UGCAAGUCGAGCGAAUCUGAGGGAGCUUGCUCCCAAAGAUUAGCGGCGGACGGGUGAGUAACACGUGGGCAACCUGCCUGUAAGACUGGGAUAACUUCGGGAAACCGGAGCUAAUACCGGAUAAUCCCUUUCCUCACAUGAGGAAAGGCUGAAAGACGGUUUCGGCUGUCACUUACAGAUGGGCCCGCGGCGCAUUAGCUAGUUGGUGAGGUAACGGCUCACCAAGGCCACGAUGCGUAGCCGACCUGAGAGGGUGAUCGGCCACACUGGGACUGAGACACGGCCCAGACUCCUACGGGAGGCAGCAGUAGGGAAUCUUCCGCAAUGGACGAAAGUCUGACGGAGCAACGCCGCGUGAGUGAUGAAGGUUUUCGGAUCGUAAAACUCUGUUGUUAGGGAAGAACAAGUAUCGGAGUAACUGCCGGUACCUUGACGGUACCUAACCAGAAAGCCACGGCUAACUACGUGCCAGCAGCCGCGGUAAUACGUAGGUGGCAAGCGUUGUCCGGAAUUAUUGGGCGUAAAGCGCGCGCAGGUGGUUCCUUAAGUCUGAUGUGAAAGCCCACGGCUCAACCGUGGAGGGUCAUUGGAAACUGGGGAACUUGAGUGCAGAAGAGGAAAGUGGAAUUCCAAGUGUAGCGGUGAAAUGCGUAGAGAUUUGGAGGAACACCAGUGGCGAAGGCGACUUUCUGGUCUGUAACUGACACUGAGGCGCGAAAGCGUGGGGAGCGAACAGGAUUAGAUACCCUGGUAGUCCACGCCGUAAACGAUGAGUGCUAAGUGUUAGAGGGUUUCCGCCCUUUAGUGCUGCAGCAAACGCAUUAA